GGUUACGUGGCCGAGUGGUUCAAGGCGUCAGAUUUAAGUUCUCCUUGCUUCCUGAUGGGGGAAACCCCGCGCGAGUUCGAACCUCGCCGUAAUCA